AAAAUAAUACAAGCUUUAUAUUACAAGCCAGGGGCCUCGAGGACUCGAAUAUAAGCUCGAUACACGAGAGUCAGCGGAAGCAACAAUAUCUGAGUAUAGACAUAAGUUAAACAAGGAUGCCUUACGAAGGCUAGCACAAAAGCAACACGAUCGAAGAGGCAACGCCUCCUGCCUGGGACCUCCUAACUACUCCUCAACGUCGGCGGUCUUCACGUAGUAGCAUCCAUCAUCGGUGGCAUCUGGCUCCAAUGAUCCACCAUCUGGUUGCAUCAACCGAAAAGAAGAAAGAAGGGGGGAAAGGGGUAGCAAAGAAACUGUGAGUACUCAUCCAAAGUACUCGCAAGCAUAAGAUCUAUACUAUGUAUGCAUUGGUAUCAAAUGGAAGGGUUGCAUCUGUGGACUGAACUGCAGAAUGCCAGAAUAGAGGGGGAAGGCCUGGCCUAUCGAAGACUAGCAUCUUCAAGCAGCUCCAAGCAUCUUGCAGCAUGUAGAGGAGUAAACAGUAGCAGUUUAACUUUUAACAAGCAUGUUGUAGAAACAACGCCCAGAGAUCCUUCCUCGACUCCCUGCGAGAAAGCAAUCUCGGAGCCACAUAUCCAUCACAUAUCUCUAGUAUCCAUUUCUAGUUAUAUAAGAUCAGGAUAUAAGUCUGAACGUCCAUUACCGUGGACACGGUAUUCAAAUAUAGAACUUCCCUACAGGGGUGCACCACGUUACCCAACACGCUUGAUUACUCUGGCCGGACACACUUUUCUGGGUCAAUGCCCGGCCUCGGAAGAUCAACACGUCGCAGCCCUACCUAAGCUCAGCAGAGAGGUCCCCACCGGUCUACAUCUUAAGCACUCCUGGGUCUUGGGCCCAUCACCCGCAGCACUCUGGUUCGUUGUGAGCAGGGUGGAUACCAGCACCGCCUCGGAUGGCCAGCACAAUCUGACCGUGCUGCACUACUGAACUGGACGCCUGACAAAGCUUCGGCUGAUACUGCGACGCCGAGGCCCAUAACUACUCUCGCGUGGUGGUUAGUGCGUAAAGGCCAUAGGCCAACUUAGAACAAAUACCCAAACCUGUUAGUGCAUUGGGGGCUCGCAAAGGCGAGCAGAGACUCACGAUAAUGUAACCCCGCCGCCCCGUCUCGUGGACUAAUGGCAAGGGCCCAUACUGCCCGUCCAUGCCACAUGGAAAACUCCUGGGUGCUCUCCGGGCCUACCCAUCUUUCACAUCAACUCGCGGGUACCCCUCAGGGCCGAGCCGACUUCAACAAUGGUUUCAAGUAAAGUCAAGGUAACUGUGUGUCCAAACAUCAAGGGGAAAACCCGAGGAAUCAUCCUCAGUGAAUUCCACUCGAUGUAAUCAUCAAGGUGAACGUAAGAGGAUCCACCCUCGAGGUUCACACUUGAGGGGUUGCACGACAUAGUCAUAUCGGAAGUGGUUAAGUAGGAAUUAGCCUCGAUGACUACGACCGAAUAUGAAAGCACAAGUGCUCCCUGGGUGAUUUUUCUAAUUAAUGUCAACAUAUCUCUUGUUGGACUAAUACAUUUACCUAGUAUAUCUCAGAUAAAGUUCAACAAUGGAGUAGCAUUGACUAGAGGAUGUGUAACCCCUUCAAGAUGCUAAGGACAAAGGAUUGGCUCAAGCUCAAAGCACAAGACUCUACAUUUUGCUUUUAGUGAUCCAAGAUCACAUUGAGUCCAUAGGAAAGCCAAUACUAUUAAGAGGGGAUGAGGUGUUGCUUAAUGGCUUGCUUGCUCAAAGUGCUUAGUGAUAUGCUCCAAAGCCCUCGACCACUUUCGAAUCCACAUAUGUCCCAAACCAAAAGUCAAACACGGCCCCACCGAUUCUAUCUAUCCGGCACCACCAAGUUCAGAUGACAUAGCCACUGCCACAAAACCUUAAUCAAAUCGGCCUCACCGAUAGGGAUCUCGGUCUCACCGAGAUGGGAUUGUAAUCUCUCUCUUUAUAUCCAUUACCAAAAUUGGUCUCACCGAGUUUGUGUAAUCGGUCCUACCUAUAUUACAAUGCAACCUCUCUGUUCCUCUUCGUAACAUUUCGGUCCAACCGAGAUGAGCGAAUCGGUCCCAUUGAGUUUGCCUGACCAACUCUCUGGUUAGCUUAUUAUCAAAAUCGGUCCCACCGCGUUUGUGUAAUCGGUCUCACCGAGAUUACGUUAUGCCCUAACCCUAACCAUAUCGGUCCCACCGAGUUGACAUGUCGGUCCCUCCAAAAAUCCUAACGGUCACAUUAUUUACUAAAUCGGUCCAAUCGAGUUUCAUGAUUCUGUCCCACCGAGAUUGGUAAGUUGUGUGUAACGGUUAGAUUUUGUGUCGAGGCUAUAUAUACCCCUCCACCCACUCUUCAUUCGUGGAGAGAGCCAUCAGAAAAUGCCUACACUUCCAACAUACAUUUUCUGAGAGAGAACCACCUACACUUGUGUUGAGGUCAAGAUAUUCCAUUCCUACCAUAUGAAUCUUGAUCUCUAGCAUUCCCCAAGUUGCUUUCCACUCAAAUGUUCUUUCCACCAAAUCGAAAUCCUGUGAGAGAGAGUUGAGUGUUGAGGAGACUAUCAUUUGAAGCACACGAGCAAGGAGUUCAUCAUCAACACACCAUUUGUUACUUCUUGGAGAGUGGUGUCUCCUAGAUUGGCUAGGUGUCACUUGGGAGCCUCCGACAAGAUUGUGGAGUUGAACCAAGGAGUUUGUAAGGGCAAGGAGAUCGCCUACUUCAAGAAGAUCUACCCUAGUGAGGCAAGUCCUUCGUGGGCGAUGGCCAUGGUGGGAUAGACAAGGUUGCUUCUUCAUGGACCCUUCGUGGGUGGAGCGCUCCAUGGACUCGCGCAGCUGUUACCCUUCGUGGGUUGAAGUCUCCAUCAACGUGGAUGUACGAUAGCACCACCUAUCGGAACCACGACAAAAACAUUCGUGUCUCCAAUUGCGUUUGCACACUCCAAUCCCAUCCCUUUACAUUCUUGCAAGUUGCAUGCUUUACUUUCCGCUGCUCAUAUACUCCUUGUAUGCUUGCUUGUCAUGUAUUGUGAAUAUUAAACUUGUGCCAAAACUCCACUUAAACUUAAUGAGAUUAAAAAUUGUAACUUUUCUCACUUAGUGUCUAAUCACCCCCCUCCUCUAGACACCUCUUCUCAAUCCUUUCAAAUGGUAUUAGAGCUAUGUGCUCCAUUGCUUUGGUUUAAACACCAUUGGAGGAAGAUGGAUGAGUCUACUUUGGGGAGUCUUAGACAUAGAGUGCCUAUACUUGAUGGAGAGUACUUUCAUGAGUGGAAAAAUGAGAUGCUUGUGAUUUUCAAUGAAUAUCAUUUGAGCAAGUACAUUACUAGCCCUUGUGCACCUCAUGUUGAUCCUAUGCAUCCUACUCUUGAUGAGUCAAUUGACAUGAUUCGCAAUCUUAGAACUAUUGAUCUUAUCACUAGAGGUUUGCCUAGAAAUUUGAUAGCUUGCUUGCCUACUCUUAAGUGUGCCUACACCAUAUGGAAAUUUCUUGAGGAACGUUUUCCAAAUUAUUCCUUGAAAAAUCUAGAUGAAAUUUUCCAUAAGUUUGUUGCCUUGAGUAAGAUGAAUUCCAAUGAUCCUAAGUUUGGUGAUUGUCUAUUGAGCUUACAAAUCUUAUGCGUGCCAAAGGAGAUGUUGUAAUUGUUAGCGAUAUUAUUUCUGAAGUUACUAGAAUUCAUAAAGAAGAUCAUUGUCAAACUCACUCUAAUGAAUCACCCUCUCUAGGAAUUGAUCCACUACAUGACGAUGUUGAACAUGGAUACUAUGAUGAGGAUGAUGAUAUUGACUUUGAUCUUGAUGAUGCAAUGAGACACUUUGGUCUUAUGGCAAAUCUUCGGGGAUAUAUGGCAGGAGGAAAGGAAUGGGUUCUUGAUAGUGGAUGUACCGAUCACAUGACCGGAGAUAAAGAUAUGUUUCGUGAGCUUGCUGAAAAUGACGGCCCUCGAAAGUAUGUCACUUUUGGUGAUAACUCAAAGGGCAAGGUGGUUGGCCUCGGUAAGGUGGCCAUCUCACAUGAUAGCUCCAUACAAAUGUCAUGCUCGUUGAAUCUCUUGGAUGCAAUUUACUUUCAGUAUCUAGACUUGCUGAUUUCGAUUUCAAUGUCCUAUUUACUGAAGUAGAUUACCAAGUGUUUCGUAGAGAUAAUCAUAAAAUAGUCUUUACCGGCAUACGUAGAGGUGAUCUUUACAUUGUUGAUUUCACUAAAAAGGCUCAACCUAGAACUUGCCUUAUUGCUAAAUCCUCCAAAGGUUGGUUAUGGCAUAGACGAUUAGGUCAUGUGGGCAUGCGAAACCUUGAGAAGCUUAUUAAAGGCAAUAAUAUCCUUGGCGUUAACGAUGUCAUAUUUGAUAAGGAUAGACUUUGCAGCGCUUGUCAAGCAAGUAAACAGGUUGGAGGAAGGCAUCCUGUGAAGAACAUCCUGACCACAAGGAGGCCACUCGAGCUACUUCACAUUGAUCUUUUUGGUCCCAACGCUUACAAAAGUCUUGUUGGAAAUUCUUUUGGUCUAGUUAUAGUGGAUGAUUUUUCAAGAUUUACGUGGGUGUUCUUUCUCGAUGAUAAACCGCAGGUCCAAAAGAUCUUCAAAAACUUCGCUAGGAAGGCCCAAAAUCAAUUUGAAGUGAAGAUCAAGAAGGUUCGCAGCGACAAUGAAACGGAGUUCAAGAACGCAAAUGUGGACACAUUUCUUGAUGAAGAAGGGAUUUCACAUGAGUUCUCGGCUACAUACACACCUCAACAAAAUGGAGUUGUUGAGAGGAAGAACCGGACGCUCAUUGAAAUGGCGAGAACGAUGCUUGAUGAGUACAAGACGCUGAAGCACUUUUGGGCGGAAGCGGUUGAGACAGCUUGUCAUGCAACAAAUCGCUUGUAUCUUCACAAGCUACUCGGCAAGAUGGCAUACGAGCUCCUCACCGGUAACAAACCCCAAGUUGGAUACUUUCGAGUAUUCGGCUCAAAGUGCUACAUUCUUGAUAAACAUCGUCGCUCUAAAUUUGCUCCUAAAUCCCAUGAAGGUUUCCUACUUGGUUAUGGCUCAAACUCUCACACUUACCGUGUCUACAAUAAUUUCACCCGAAAGGUUGAAGAGACGGUAGAUGUGAGGUUUGAUGAAUCUAACGUCUCGCUAGUAGAGCAAUUGCCAAUUGAUGUAGGAGACAAAGACCCUUUGGAAGCAAUCCAAGACUUGUCUAUUGGCAAGAUUCGUCCAACGGAGGUGGAGCAGAGUACCUCGUCUGUCCAAGUGGAAGCUUCCACCUCAUGACAAGGUGAACCAAGAGUUGAUACAGAAGCAUCCACAAGUGGGACACACCAAGACGAAGAAAACGAGGAAGUGCACCAAGAUGAACAUCAACAACCUCCUUAUCCACCACGACAAGAGAACGACAACGUCAACAAUGAAGAUGGCCAAGAAGAAGAACAAAAUGAAGAAGAUGUUCCACCAAGAUCCAAGCAAAAGCUUUCAUGAGUUCGAGAAAGAAUCGCCAAAGACCAUCCUGUCGAGCAAAUCUACAAUGAUAUCCAAACCGGGAGAAUCACUCGCUCUAAAACUCGUUUAGCAAACUUUUGUGAACACUAUUCAUUCAUCUCUAGCAUUGAACCUAUGAAGGUUGAGGAGCAAUCAAUUACAGUAGCAAAAUCUAAUGUGAGUUUGAGAGAAUGGAAUGUGUGAUAUCGGGAUGAUCAAUGGGGGGACUUGCCUGGAAGCUCCUCUGAAAAGGGGUAGAAGUGUCGUCGAUGACGUAGUCGGUCACAGGGACAUCAACAUCGGUCUCGGGGUCUAUCACAAAGAAGAGGGGGAAGAAACAGUAAAUACAAGCAAACAUAUGAAUAACAAGACAAAAAGAGGUGCUAGAGGUGUUCUAACGCAGUGCCAGGCGAUACUAGCGAAGGGGGAAACAUCCGGGAAAGUCCUCCCGGUUUCGGAUGUGUGUCAAACAAAUGAACCGGACGGGAAAGGUUUGACGUUUGCCAUGCUAGGGACGUGUGGCAGACGAACGGACCGCGCAUUAUAAUUUGUCUUGUCGUUCUGAGCAACUUUCAUGUAUAACACUUUUUCAUCCGAGUUACAAAUCAAUUUCUAUGAUUUUUGUAAAGAUUUAACAAUACCUAGAAAAUCCCUGAAAUUUCACCAAGUCUGAGAAUUCGUCUGUUUCUUUAAACAUCACUUAGCAGUUUUCAAAAUGCUACAACUAUUGUUCUGUAGAUCAUAUGAUUUUGUGCCUUAUCUCAAUUGUGAGCAUUUUUCUACGAUCUACAAGUUAGUAACACUUUCAUCCAUAUUAGAGUUCAUCUGCUUGGUCAACAAUAGUUCUAAAGUAGCUAUGAAAAUAAAAUUGUUUUCCGGUUUUUCUCUUAAUAGAACAUAGCAUUUUGCGAUUUUCAUAGGAUUUAAUACGCGCAUCAAAUGGAUUUGUUCCAGUGGGGUAAAAUGAAGUUUGUCAAGUGUACUUCCUUCACAUAUUAAUUUUUCUCAUGUUAGCACUUGAUUAGCUGUUGUUUAGGGGCUGUCUAAAGAGCUAAAUGGUGUAGAAGCACAAAAGCUAGCUAGUGCUAGAGUAACUGAAUGUUACUUUAGCAGAGCAGCAACAGAGGGCAGCGGCGUGGUGCGGGCAUUAUGCAGCGGCAGCGACGCCACGCGCGGGCGGAGCAGCAGCAAGCGGCAGCAACAGCGCAUAGCUGCAGCAGUUCAAGGGAGCACCAGAGGAGCAGUGACAGGCGGCGGCUUUAGCUCACAAGAGUAAGCUGGAGCGGGCCAGCGGGCGUCGCAUGGUGGUGACAGCGACAGGCAGGGCUGCACGCGCAUGGACGACAGGGGAGGGCGGCAGCGGGUAGCGCGGCGAAGCGUGUGGGGGGACGAGCAGCGAGCAAAGCGGAGCAUGGCCAAGGCGCGUGCGGACGCGGCCUUACAUAGGCGAGCACGCACGGAUGUUAAACUUCGGUCAUGGCGGCCGGGCUCAUGGGGAGAACAAAGCAGCUACGGGUCGACGCAAAUGAGACGGGGAUUCGUGAUAGGAGCUCACCGCGAGCACGUAGGUGAGGUCGGGGAGGCUGGAGGUUGCCGGGAUGGUGCGGAUCGAACGGCGUCGUCCGACAGCCGUGGUGGAGGAAGAAGAGCGUGCAUCGUCGAUGCAGCGCCUACGCCUUGAUCUGCUGGUGUAGUCGAUGAAGGUGACGAUGGCGCGGCUCCUGGACAUGGCGGUUCGGUGCGGGGAGGCACGUGGCCGCGGGACCGAAGCGACGACGGCGACGCGGAGCUUGGUUGUGUGCGAGGAGAGGAAAACGAGCGAGGAGGAUCGGAUUUUGAGGAUAGGGUUCAUCAGGGGGGAUGCCGGG
rnacentral:lncRNA from 1 species